CUCAUUUCUUUAUUUACUCACUUCCUUCUUCAACAUGCUGCACCACCAAUGUUUCCUCUGUGCUAUUGACACAGCAACAGGGCUGUAGAAUAAAUACAGAUAUUAUGGAGGAAAUAGUACAAAAGUCAAUAGUACAGCAUCUUUAAAAAGGAUCAGAGUAUUUCAUGUCAAAAGAAAUAAUACUAAUACAUCUUUAUUUGAUGGCCUGUUUAAACAUGUACAGUUGUUUCCAAUAAAAGUCAUUUAUUAACAUUAGAGCCAAACAAUUCUAUUUCUGUUAAAGUAACACAUGGAGUAAAUGUUGUAAAUGACAUUAUAGGGAAUAAAAACACAAGUAACGCAUAUUCAAUAUUUCCUUGAGAGGUUUGCUGAACCAUUAAAAAGCUUCUUGUUCAAAACAAUUCUGAUUAUGUGAAAUUAGAUUUGAUUUCACUCAACAGAUUUAGAAAGAUUUGAAGUUAAAAUGGGCUCAAAAAGAAUUACACAUUCAUAUUUUCCUUCUUCACCUUGUUUUUAUUAUUGCUGAUGAAGCGCACACACACAUAAGGACACAUUUGUCUCAUAUGGGGGGACAGAUGAAAGAGCGUCUUAUAAAAUGUCUUCUUGAACACAUAAAGAUGAAGAUUUAAGCCUAAUUAGGAGCCAAUAUCUAAAUGAUCAUCUAUUGAUUGAAGGAGCACAGCAGCAUUAAGCUGAGCUCUUUCACACUUCCAUCUGAGUCCCAGAGAGCUGUGGACCCCCCAGAGUCCAGACCAGCUCAGGUACCCCUCACCUGCUCCACCUGCAUCUACACCCACAUGAACCACCAUCAGCUGUACAGACUGAACUAUGUGGUGAGCAGAGAGGAAGGUUCUCCACCAGGAGGAGACUCUCCCUCCUGAAGAGGACACAGAGACACUGAGGAACCAGAACCAGGCCAGAACAAGAACCCAGGAUAAAGAGGUUCAGUGAAUGUGGUGCUGAAGGUGUGGAGGUGGAUCAGUGUGUCAGAGGAGACUCUGUAGAAGGACAGAGAGCCAGCAGGACAGUCCACAUACACUGCUAGUCUACCAGAGGAGGGAGGAGGAGGAGGAGGAGGAGGUGAUGCGUGUUACUGCCU
ensembl:lncRNA